GGUUCAUGGAGGCUUCGGUUCGAGGUGAGUGGUUCAGCUUUGAGUAUGGUUUGCUGGGAAUGGUGAAAAGAAAAGAUAAGAAAAGAAAGAAAAGAAAGAAAAUAAAUAGAUAAAUAAAAUAAAAUAAGAUACAAGAAAAUAAAUAAAUAAAAUAAAAUGAAAUACAAGAAAAUAAAAUAAAAGAAAAGAAAAGAAAGAAAAGAAAGGAAAGAAGAGAAAAGAAUGAAAGAAAGAAAAGAAAGGAAAGAAGAGAAAAGAAUGAAAGAAAGAAAAGAAAAGAAUGAAAGAAAGAAAAGAAAAGAAUGAAAGAAAGAAAAGAAAAGAAUGAAAGAAAGAAACGAAAAGAAUGAAAGAAAGAAAGAAAAGAAAAAAAAUGCCGCUGAAACUAAAUGUUAUUGUCCCGAAGCGAAACAUUUCUGGCGAACAUAUAUAUUUUUCUUAUUUUUUUUGUCACUUGCAUGAAACGAUACAUUUUGUAAACAAAUAGAACCCUUAACCCUAGAGCACUAAACUGGGUCCAUAUGGACCCACCAAAUUGCGCGUCAAAUUUUCCGGUCCUUCUCCAUCUUAUCCACAAUGCAUUUCUUGUUUAGACGGCAAUUUUCUCAUCACUUGGAUCUCAGCGGUCGUGGCUAGCGGAAGGUACGUGACAGUUUUAGCGUUUUUAGUGAUUUAUAGGCAGUGCUUGGUCCACAUGGACCCAUGGUUAUAAGUAGUGUUCCAUAUCGACUUUGCACAUGCACUACGUAUUGAGCAUUUUUUUGUGUGUGAUGUACGAAAUAUUGUAAUGUGUGGUGUUGUAUAAUGCUGCCGAUAGUUGAACCAUCUUGUUAUAUUGUGAAACUCGCAUUUCGCUCUAUAUUUAGUUCAUUUUCACUCGUUUUCCUUGGAUAGAUAUGUUGAACACCUGUCACGUGGUAACCAGGUGAUGUGACAGAAGCAGGGGAGCAGUGCUGUUGACCAGGAGCCAGUGCUACACCUCCUGGGAUCGGAGAGUGCUUGUUGAAUGGUUGGAGAUCACACCCAAUAAAGGACCAUGGUGGGCUGCUUUUGGCAAGUAUAGCUUCAGCAACUCUUCAGCUAAACGGAAUUAGCAGUUACUAAGCUGAAAAUGAUUUAUUUUAUUUUUUGCAUAAUAUAUUUUGAAACUAUAUGAAAUUUCGGAAAUUUUAUUUUUCUAAUUUUGCUACAAUAAAAAUAUGGCAUAUUUUUCUUUA